GAAUGCGUGUUAAGACAUUAGAAAUCUCCUUAUCUGAUCUCGGAAGCGAAGCAGGGUCGGGCCUGGGUAGUACUUGGAUGGGAGAUCGUCUGUGAAUACCGGGUGCUGUAGGCU
rnacentral:rRNA from 1 species